rnacentral:rRNA from 1 species
CGCGUAGGCGGCAUUGCAAGUCAGAUGUGAAAGCCCCAGGCUUAACUUGGGAAUUGCAUCUGAAACUGCUUUGCUUGAGUCCUGGAGGGGGUAGUGGAAUUCCCAGUGUAGCGGUGAAAUGCGUAGAUAUUGGGAGGAACACCGGCGGCGAAGGCGGCUACCUGGACAGUGACUGACGCUGAUGCGCGAAAGCUAGGGGAGCGAACGGGAUUAGAUACCCCGGUAGUCCUAGCCGUAAACGAUGGGCACUUGGUGUUGGGGGUAUUGAGUCCCCCGGUGCCGGAGUUAACACGUUAAGUGCCCCGCUGGGGAGUACGGUCGCAAGACUGAA